rnacentral:rRNA from 1 species
AGAUUGAACGCUGGCGGCGUGCUUAACACAUGCAAGUCGAGCGGUAACAGGCGUAGCAAUACGUGCUGACGAGCGGCGAACGGGUGCGUAAUACAUGGGAAUCUGCCCUUUGGUGGGGAAUAACCCGGCGAAAGCCGGGCUAAUGCCGCAUAAGAUCUUCGGAUGAAAGCGGGGGAUCGUAAGACCUCGCGCCGAUGGAUGACGCCCAUGUCGGAUUAGCUAGGUUGGUGAGGUAACGGCUCACCAAGGCGACGAUCCGUAGCUGGUCUGAGAGGACGGCCAGCCACACGU